rnacentral:rRNA from 1 species
CCAGACUCCUACGGGAGGCAGCAGUGGGGGAUAUUGGACAAUGGGGGAAACCCUGAUGCAGCGACGCCGCGUGAGGGAAGACGGUUUUCGGAUUGUAAACCUCUGUCUUUGGGGACGAAUUGAGACGGUACCCAAGGAGGAAGCUCCGGCUAACUACGUGCCAGCAGCCGCGGUAAUACGUAGGUGGCAAGCGUUAUCCGGAUUUACUGGGUGUAAAGGGCGUGUAGGCGGGAUGGUAAGUCAGAUGUGAAAACUAUGGGCUCAACCCAUAGCCUGCAUUUGAAACUAUCGUUCUUGAGUGUUGGAGAGGCAGGCGGAAUUCCGUGUGUAGCGGUGAAAUGCGUAGAUAUACGGAGGAACACCAGUGGCGAAGGCGGCCUGCUGGACAAUAACUGACGCUGAGGCGCGAAAGCGUGGGGAGCAAACAGGAUUAGAUACCCGUGUAGA